GGGCCUCUAGCUGAGUUGGUUAGAUGGCUAAAGUAGAACUCUUUAGAUCUUAGGUUCGACUCCCAGUGGGAGCA
rnacentral:tRNA from 7 species